CCACCCUUUAAUGUUUGAUGUUCUAACGUGGACCCGUAAUCCGGGUUGCGGACAGUGUCUGGUGGGUGGUUUGACUGGGGCGGUCUCCUCCUAAAGAGUAACGGAGGAGCACGAAGGUUGGCUAAUCCUGGUCGGACAUCAGGAGGUUAGUGCAAUGGCAUAAGCCAGCUUGACUGCGAGCGUGACGGCGCGAGCAGGUGCGAAAGCAGGUCAUAGUGAUCCGGUGGUUCUGAAUGGAAGGGCCAUCGCUCAACGGAUAAAAGGUACUCCGGGGAUAACAGGCUGAUACCGCCCAAGAGUUCAUAUCGACGGCGGUGUUUGGCACCUCGAUGUCGGCUCAUCACAUCCUGGGGCUGAAGUAGGUCCCAAGGGUAUGGCUGUUCGCCAUUUAAAGUGGUACGCGAGCUGGGUUUAGAACGUCGUGAGACAGUUCGGUCCCUAUCUGCCGUGGGCGCUGGAGAAUUGAGGGGGGCUGCUCCUAGUACGAGAGGACCGGAGUGGACGCAUCACUGGUGUUCGGGUUGUCAUGCCAAUGGCACUGCCCGGUAGCUAAAUGCGGAAGAGAUAAGUGCUGAAAGCAUCUAAGCACGAAACUUGCCCCGAGAUGAGUUCUCCCUGACUCCUUGAGAGUCCUGAAGGAACGUUGAAGACGACGACGUUGAUAGGCCGGGUGUGUAAGCGCAGCGAUGCGUUGAGCUAACCGGUACUAAUGAACCGUGAGGCUUAACCUU
rnacentral:rRNA from 1 species